rnacentral:tRNA from 1 species
CCUUCGAUAGCUCAGUUGGUAGAGCGGUGGACUGUAGAAAAUGGUACGAGGAACAUGGCUAGGCGCAGGGAUCCAUAGGUCGCUGGUUCAAAUCCGGCUCGAAGGA